rnacentral:rRNA from 1 species
CGUAGGGUGCGAGCGUUAAUCGGAAUUACUGGGCGUAAAGCGUGCGCAGGCGGUUAUGCAAGACAGAUGUGAAAUCCCCGGGCUCAACCUGGGAACUGCAUUUGUGACUGCAUAGCUAGAGUACGGUAGAGGGGGAUGGAAUUCCGCGUGUAGCAGUGAAAUGCGUAGAUAUGCGGAGGAACACCGAUGGCGAAGGCAAUCCCCUGGACCUGUACUGACGCUCAUGCACGAAAGCGUGGGGAGCAAACAGGAUUAGAUACCCUGGUAGUCCACGCCCUAAACGAUGUCAACUGGUUGUUGGGAGGGUUUCUUCUCAGUAACGAAGCUAACGCGUGAAGUUGACCGCCUGGGGAGUACGGCCGCAAGGUUG